rnacentral:rRNA from 1 species
UACGUAGGGGGCUAGCGUUGUCCGGAAUCAUUGGGCGUAAAGAGCGCGUAGGCGGCCAGAUAAGUCCGGUGUGAAAGUCACAGGCUCAACCUGUGAAUGCCGCUGGAAACUGUCUGGCUAGAGUCCGGGAGGGGCGAGUGGAAUUCCUGGUGUAGCGGUGAAAUGCGCAGAUAUCAGGAGGAACACCAAUGGCGAAGGCAGCUCGCUGGAACGGUACUGACGCUGAGGAGCGAAAGCGUGGGGAGCGAACAGG